AAUCAACGCUGGCGGCGUGCCUAACACAUGCAAGUCGAACGCGAAAGGGGCUUCGGCCCUGAGUAGAGUGGCGUCCGGGUGAGUAACGCGUGGGUAAUCUGCCGUUGGGUGGGGAAUAACUAGUCGAAAGAUUAGCUAAUACCGCAUAAUGUAGUCUUUAUAUUGAAGAUUAUUAAAGCAGCAAUGCGCCUAACGAUGAGCCUGCGUCUGAUUAGUUUGUUGGUGGGGUAAUGGCCCACCAAGACUACUAUCAGUAGCUGGUCUGAGAGGACGGCCAGCCACAAUGGCACUGAAACACGGGCCAUACUCCUACGGGAGGCAGCAGUGGGGAAUUUUGCGCAAUGAGCGAAAGCUUGACGCAGCAACGCCGCGUGAAGGAUGAAAUCCUUCGGGAUGUAAACUUCGCAAGUAUGGGAAGAAAUAAAUGACGGUACCAUAUGUAAGCCCCGGCUAACUCCGUGC
rnacentral:rRNA from 1 species